GAUGAAGAACGCAGCGAAUUGCGAUAAGUAAUGUGAAUUGCAGAAUUCAGUGAAUCAUCGAAUCUUUGAACGCACAUUGCGCCCGUCAGUAUUCUGGCGGGCAUGCCUGUUCGAGCGUCAUUACGCCCCUCAAGUCCCCUGUGGACUUGGUGUUGGGGAUCGGCGAGGCUGGUUUUCCAGCACAGCCGUCCCUUAAAUUAAUUGGCGGUCUCGCCGUGGCCCUCCUCUGCGCAGUAGUAAAACACUCGCAACAGGAGCCCGGCGCGGUCCACUGCCGUAAAACCCCCCAACUUUUUAUAGUUGACCUCGAAUCAGGUAGGACUACCCGCUGAACUUAAGCAUAUCAAUAAGCGGAGGA
rnacentral:misc_RNA from 1 species